AUUGAACGCUGGCGGCAGGCUUAACACAUGCAAGUCGAGCGGUAACAGAGAGAAGCUUGCUUCUCUGCUGACGAGCGGCGGACGGGUGAGUAAUGCCUAGGAAUCUGCCUAGAAGUGGGGGAUAACUUGCCGAAAGGUAAGCUAAUACCGCAUACGUCCUACGGGAGAAAGGAGGGGACCUGCGGGCCUUCCGCUAUUAGAUGAGCUGAGGUCGGAUUAGUUAGUUGGUGAGGUAAUGGCUCACCAAGACCGCGAUCCGUAACUGGUCUGAGAGGAUGAUCAGUCACACUGGAAAUGAGACACGGUCCAGACUCAUACGGGAGGCAGCAGUGGGGAAUAUUGGACAAUGGGGGGAACCCUGAUCCAGCCAUGCCGCGUGUGUGAAGAAGGUCUUAGGAUUGUAAAGCACUUUAAGUUGGGAGGAAGAGCAGUUAACUAAUAUUUGACUGUUUUGACGUUACCGACAGAAUAAGCACCGGCUAACUUCGUGCCAGCCGCCGCCGUAA
rnacentral:rRNA from 1 species